GGAGGAGGCGGGGCGGGGCGCGGCGCGCACCGGGCUUGGCGGGGCUGAGAGCCAGACCCGGCGGACGGGGACCGGGCGCUGUGGGCGAGGCAGGGAGCAGCGAGGGGCGGAGCGAGGGGCUUUGCAACCCUUGCCUUUGCCGCAGACAACUUAGCAUGUGCCCCCAACUCUUCCAGAAUCAACAUUUCUAAGGUGAAGAUAUUGAGGCUAUGAAAUCGAUGAACAUUCCAUGAGGAACUGGCAGAACCAGCUUGAUUCCAGGACCUGUGCUGUACUAUAUACUCUAAAUUAUUUAUAUAUAUGCAAACUGCUAACCAUAUAAUAAUCACUCAAUAAAUAUUAGCCAUUAUUAGUUCCACAUGACUAUUCCACAGAAUUUUGCUUGACAACCUUAAAUUUUUUCAUAUUUAAAUUUUGCACUGUGGACUAGGGAUACCUUAUCAGUUCAAAAUAGAACAGUUUACAGAAGUAGUAGGAUUGAAAACUUAAACAAAAAAGUUAUCUUUAUAGUAUUAUACUGAUUAGUGCAUACUAUAUAAAUCUAUUUCCCCACUUUUUUGAAGUAGGAUACUUUCUUGAUAAGUGAUGACUUAGCAAACUUAAUGAAAUACAGCAUAAUCUCUAAUGGCAAAGUCAGUGAAGCCAUGUGUGCCUGUACACAAAAUUUAAGUUUCUCUUUGGCUCAUCCACUUAUAAGCAGGACUAAAAAUGAAUGAAAUUUCACUAGGGGAUAUGGUAAACAAAAACAGGAGGAAAAUAUUUGAAAAUAUUCAUUUGUAAUAUGAAUAUACAAAACUUUCCAGAGAUAAAGUCUUUGAAUGGUGAUGAACUGACUAUAAGUCAGUUUUAUUUUUUCUUAAAAUUAAAUUGACCUAGUAUUUGUCCUUUAAAUUAUAGAUAUUUAUGUAACUGAUAAAAUGAGCUUUAACCACAAGAGGGAGCCAGCAUCAUUCCAGUUAGCAACUAAAGAAAAAUUAACACCAAGGAAAAACAAAUUAAUAUAAGACAGCUGUAAAAAGCCUGAGAUGGAAAGACCUUUUAUGUCAUGUAUGCUAAAAAGGUUGUUAUUUUUCACUAUUGUAAAUAAAAAAAUAAUUUUGCUUUGUCAAUUUCAAAAUAAUUUUUUUUUAAAGCAGUAACUAUUAAUAGGAGUUUAGGUGUCUUCUCUGAGGAAAAAAGUAAUAUUAUUUAAGAAUUAUCAGGCAUCCACAUCUCAAAGGAUUUGCUCUUGGAAUUAAACUUGAUAAGAUCUAGUACUGAAAGAUACUAGAUGAUUUCCCCUAAUGAAAUAGUAUAUUACUGCCAAAUAGACUAUAUUUAGGAAGCAAUGAAGGGCCUACAAUAGAGUAUCAAAAUGCAAAUUCAGUUUCCAUGUAAGUUCACAGAAUUAAAGGCUGAGCAUGUUACUGACUACCACCCAGCAUCACACUGACAAUGGUACAGCAAUCCCAGACCAAUAUGAUUAUGAGGUUGUAUUCAAUUUCUGAAGGUUUAUUCUAAGGGAAAUAUUUUAUAAGAUGCUUCAGUAAGCUUCUUUAAUUAAGUUUUUAAACUUUACUUUAUCCUGGAUUACUCAGUGGAAAUAAUUAUUUAAAGUAGAGUAAAUGUAGGAACGAGGCAGUUGUAAUGGUAGCCAGAAUUCAAGUGGUUGGACCACAAUGGAAAAAAAAAAUUUCACUGACCACAAAUAAAUAAAACACAUGGGAAAGAAUUGUAAUAUUAUCAUAAAUAAUUACCAAAGUAUCAGAUAUUUCUAAUAAGAAUCCAUUUUUCUUUAAUUACAAGUCAUAGUCAUAUGGUAGCCCAAUCUGAAAUUUCAUAUGUCACAUAAUGUCAAAUUUAGCUAUCUGGUAAUCUCCAAUUAAUAACUGUGUGACAUUAGUUUUCUUAGCAAUAAAGCAAGAGCACUUAAUCGCUAUCAUCCCUUUUAGUUAGGAAAAAAGUAUAAUCAUUCAAAUUAGCCCUGUUAAAAUAGCAGUGUUUUUCUUUUUUUGUUUUGUCUUGUUUUAUUUUGGGGAUAACUAUUCUAGAAGCAAUGCCUUUUCUAAAUAUGCUAUUGUCAUUGCUCUCCCUUUACUCUGAGUUGUAAUCGAUAACUGUAACCAAAUAUUGGUAAGAGAUGUGAAAAUAAUCACAGGAAAAAAAGUAAUAAAAAUUUCAAAUAUUUAAGUAUUAA